rnacentral:rRNA from 2 species
AGACCCGAAACCCGGUGAUCUAGCCAUGGGCAGGUUGAAGGUUGGGUAACACUAACUGGAGGACCGAACCGACUAAUGUUGAAAAAUUAGCGGAUGACCUGUGGCUGGGGGUGAAAGGCCAAUCAAACCGGGAGAUAGCUGGUUCUCCCCGAAAGCUAUUUAGGUAGCGCCUCGUGAAUUCAUCUCCGGGGGUAGAGCACUGUUUCGGCUAGGGGGCCAUCCCGGCUUACCAACCCGAUGCAAACUGCGAAUACCGGAGAAUGUUAUCACGGGAGACACACGGCGGGUGCUAACGUCCGUCGUGAAGAGGGAAACAACCCAGACCGCCAGCUAAGGUCCCAAAGUCAUGGUUAAGUGGGAAACGAUGUGGGAAGGCCCAGACAGCCAGGAUGUUGGCUUAGAAGCAGCCAUCAUUUAAAGAAAGCGUAAUAGCUCACUGGUCGAGUCGGCCUGCGCGGAAGAUGUAACGGGGCUAAACCAUGCACCGAAGCUGCGGCAGCGACACUCAGGUGUUGUUGGGUAGGGGAGCGUUCUGUAAGCCUGUGAAGGUGUGUCGUGAGGCAUGCUGGAGGUAUCAGAAGUGCGAAUGCUGACAUAAGUAACGAUAAAGCGGGUGAAAAGCCCGCUCGCCGGAAGACCAAGGGUUCCUGUCCAACGUUAAUCGGGGCAGGGUGAGUCGACCCCUAAGGCGAGGCCGAAAGGCGUAGUCGAUGGGAAACAGGUUAAUAUUCCUGUACUUGGUGUUACUGCGAAGGGGGGACGGAGAAGGCUAUGUUGGCCGGGCGACGGUUGUCCCGGUUUAAGCGUGUAGGUGUGUGUUCCAGGUAAAUCCGGUUCACUUUAACACUGAGGCGUGACGACGAGGCACUACGGUGCUGAAGCAACAAAUGCCCUGCUUCCAGGAAAAGCCUCUAAGCAUCAGGUAACAUCAAAUCGUACCCCAAACCGACACAGGUGGUCAGGUAGAGAAUACCAAGGCGCUUGAGAGAACUCGGGUGAAGGAACUAGGCAAAAUGGUGCCGUAACUUCGGGAGAAGGCACGCUGACACGUAGGUGAAGUGAUUUACUCAUGGAGCUGAAGUCAGUCGAAGAUACCAGCUGGCUGCAACUGUUUAUUAAAAACACAGCACUGUGCAAACACGAAAGUGGACGUAUACGGUGUGACGCCUGCCCGGUGCCGGAAGGUUAAUUGAUGGGGUCAGCGCAAGCGAAGCUCCUGAUCGAAGCCCCGGUAAACGGCGGCCGUAACUAUAACGGUCCUAAGGUAGCGAAAUUCCUUGUCGGGUAAGUUCCGACCUGCACGAAUGGCGUAAUGAUGGCCAGGCUGUCUCCACCCGAGACUCAGUGAAAUUGAACUCGCUGUGAAGAUGCAGUGUACCCGCGGCAAGACGGAAAGACCCCGUGAACCUUUACUAUAGCUUGACACUGAACAUUGAGCCUUGAUGUGUAG